UGUAAGCUGGGAAAACAAGCACAAAGUGACUCCUUUUCCUUCUGAACAGGAACAGAUCCCUUAAAAGCAUUCCAAGGAGGAAUCAGGAGGCUGGGAACAGCGGGAAGAAGAAAGGCAGGAGUUCUCUGCCAGAAGGAAAAGCUCCCAGAGCAGGACAAACAGAAGGAGCUGGGGAAGAGACAGAAUUCCUGGACACAGGAGAAAGCUGAAAUAUCAAAUUCUGCUACGCAGGAGGAAGGUGGCUACACCCUCGUGGAGAAUUAAGGUGAGUGUUACCAUUUUCUUAGAAUCUUUAACAAAGGAUUCUUUGGAUGAAGGAAAUUAGGUUUAUCUAAAUAAUUAUGUCUAUCUAAAAGGUUAUCCAGCAUAUCAGGAAAACAAAUAUCAGGAUAUCUCACAGAAAAUUCAGCUUAAAGGGGUGAUUUUCUUGAGGAAAAGCUUUUCUUUGCUUGAGGAAAAGCUCCCCUCAAGGGGGGGAGAAUGCACAGAAAUAAGAAAGCACAGUCUUCUAAACCAGUUACACUUGCUGAGCUGAAUGAAUAAAAAUAAUGUGAUAAAUGAAAUAAUGGCUGUACCUCAGAGUAUUGCUUUUUAAUUUCAAAAAGCACUCUUACUUUGAGGCAACUUACCCACUAACCAACAGUGAAACUGCCUUAAAAAUACCUCCAAAACACGAUUUCUGGCUGACUGUUCCCAGGAUUUCUAACACUCUUUCCAACUUUACAAGUGGCCCACAUUAGCAGGAGGAAAUUAGGUUUUGCUGAUUGCUGACUUGGCCAAGACAGCUUUCCCUGCACUGUGCCUUGAUGAAUAAGUCAAUUAGUCUGGUUGAACUCUGCCUUUUCUGUUUUUCCCUGAAUAAUUAUCCUUCUUCCUCAGUUUGGCUCACAGGCAACGAGUCUCUGCACAGUAUCAAGUAAUAAAAAGUAGGCUGGGCUGGGGUUGGGAGUCAUUAGAGAUGAGUUUUCCUCUCGAUUCUGCCACUGACUUUCCACACAACCUUGAGCAAAUCUCAUUACCAAUUUGUACCUCGACGUUUUCUCACUAGCCAGUGUAAAUAAUAUGAUAAAUGACUCUCCAAGGACAUUCUCAAGGAUGUUUCACCAUCAGUUCAUUUCUGCAGAGCAGAAUGAGGUCCUGGAAAGGCAGCUUUGAAGAGGAAUGGUAGAUUAUUGCAUAAUUCUACCAUAUAUUGUUGCAAAUUAAGAGAAAAAAUGCCCACAGAACACCUUUUUAAAAACACCUGUCCCUAAUUCUUCAGAAGGGCUCCUUAACCACAGUAAUUUCUGAAAUACUCUUGUAAUUGUCUUCAUUACAUUAUUUCUUAAUAACUAAUGACUAAUCCUCAUUCUGAUUUGAUAUAGAAUUAACCUGUUCUUUUUUUUUGUUUUUUAUUUAGGAAGAGGCAGGAGGAAUUAAGAGAGGCUUAAUUUUGUUUAUUACUUUACUCAAGUUGUCUCCUUCCCUGAAAUACUUCAAUUUGCUUUGGAAAGAAUCAAUCCAACCACACAUAUUUCAUCUGACUGCUGUCAGCAGUUUCUUUCUUUGCUGUUUGUCUCUUUCCUUGAAAAUAGAAAUCUCUGCUCUCACUCAGUGUUUAGGCAGCUCAUGAAAUACUGCACAGAAGUGGUUCCCUGCCUUGAGUAAUUGGACAUGUUUAUAUUCAGCUUUUAAACAGCAAGCUGGCUGAAUGCUAAUUGUCCUUUACUGUGUAUCUAUUUUUUAAACAACAAAAAAGCUAAAAAUACCUUGAUUGAAUGUUAUUCUAGUGGCUUUUUAUGCUUCUACAGCAGGGAAAACUGGGUUAUCCAGCCCAACACAAGAAGGCACAAAGGUGACAGAUGAGCUGUGCAGCCACCCAGUAACAGCUGAGGACAUGAACUGGGAGCUGGGACUUCUUCCCCUCCCUCCAGCCCAGCUGCUGUGCUCACACUUCAAAGCUGGUUGUCGUUAUCCUGAGAAUGUUUUAUUUCACUGGCAAGUUGGGCACUGUCAGUGAGAAAAGCACUGCUGGGUGCGAGGCUCACUCCAUCCCCAAAUUUAACCACACAGCUCUUUCAGGGCUCCAGAGGGGGGAUUGUGCAGGCAGAAAAGGAGUAGUAUUUCUGCACUUUCACCCUUAAAGCAGUCCAUUUCAAAUGGGAUUAACUCCUACAUGUUCUAAAGCUGGAACUUUUUGGGAAAGCUGUCACAGUGCUGCUCUCAUUGGAGGGAAUCACCCCGAAGCAGAGACCAUAUCCAAGGGUUUGUGUAACUCCUUAGGAGCAGCUCAGCAACAGGAGUUGUGAAAGGGACAUUAAAAAGCUGAGAGGAAAUCAACCCCUGGGUUUGUAACAUCUCAAAGUUCUACUUGAGUUUAACACUGGUGUAAUUUUAUUUACCAGUGAUCUCUCUUUCCUUUCAGUGCAGAGACAAAACCCAUCCUCAACCUGGCAGCUGCAGAGGGAAUGCCAACAUUCCACCUUUCCCUGCAUGCAUCAGCAACUUUAAGACCACUAAGGGAAGGGGGAAAGCUGUUCCAAUAAAUAUCCCAAAGCUCUCACAACAGGAAUCCUCCUCAACUGCAGCUUAGAAAAUGACACCUCCAAGAGGAAAGUGGGGUGAACUGAGUAGAGGAUUUUUUGCUCUUUC